UUAGAGUGGCAUAUAAGGGAGGCGGCGGCGGCGCAACCAACGGCCCUGGCCGAUGGUUGCUGCAUCAUGCGCGGAUUCCCCGGCGAGGCUGAGCUCUCUCUCCCUAUUUCUUCUUCAGUUGAGCCACCUCUCGAUCAGCACGAAAACCCGAGUCAACCACUUCUCCUCUUUCUCCGCUAGUCCUUGGUUCUGCAGAUCGCCGGCGACUUGUUUGCCGGAGUCGUCGGUGGAAUCACCUUGUAUGGUGCUGGUGCAUCUUGGUGUCUGUGUCCAUCCCACGGGUGCAAGCACUACAACCUGCUCUUAAAGAAGGUGUUGGUCUCUGGGAGGAAGGAGGAGACGGCGUGAGCAGCUACAUUCUCCGUCUUCCUUGCCGGUGAGACUGCGGCACAAGCGGCGGCAAUUGGAUUUCUGGGACAGCGGCAACACUAAACGGCUUUGAGUGCCUGUUCAUCAAUAUAACUGACGACUCAAGGGCAGUCAGCUCCUUACCACAAUUUUAGAUUAUUGAGUUAUGUGGCUCACUGUUGAGUGUUGAUGACCGUAAGAUCAUUUUCCGAUGUAAGUUGGUAUUUACUUCCAUAGGUUGUGAAAUAAACUGCAGUGCCAUUAUUAUCGUAAUAUCACGUGACUCCCUACAGCCUUAUGUGAAUCAGAGUAUCAUAUGCCAAAAAAGCAUUCUCUUUGUUCGUAGGAUUCUUAUCUUAAUUCUGUUCAUAAUACUAAUAUAUUCCCCUCUGUUGUGGCUAGUCACUACUAUGCAUGACCUGCUGCUAGAAGAAUAGACAAAUUUCUUUGGUCCUUUAUAUAAUAGGGGAAUCGCUAGUUAUCAUGCCACCUUAAAACUUGAAAAUUUUCCGUCACCUUUUUGGCUGCCUGUCCUUUGUUGAUAUUCGUGAGGGAUUUGGGCUUCUUUAUCUGGUUUGCUAAGCAUUUUUGUCAGCUCGUUCUGUUCAUAACUUUAUCCUUCCCUCGAUCUGCACGUUUCACACCCACAUAUAGAUUGUUUGUUAGAUAAUGAAAGCUUUUUACCCCGACAUAUAGAUAGAUAGAGAUAUAGAGAGAUCAAGGACUGUAUCAGCCACUCGACUUUGAAAAGGAGCCCGCUAUGUGUGAGGGUUGAAGUGCCUGUGGCGUCGAGCCCUCCAGCCACCAGGUUGGCACAUCCCCGUCUGUCACCAGCUGUCCUCAAGCCAUCUGUUUCCCUCGUGACAUUGGCUGUUUUGCCAAGUACUGCUAGCUGCUCACCUCAUGGUAUGAAUUCUUGAUGAUCUGAUCUACUCCUGAUGGGGAUCCAAUUACUCAAUUUUGUAUGGCAGAACAUUUUAGCUGUUGCAAAAUUACUUCCAAUUUUUGCUUAUUUAUGGGCUUUAUUCUUGCUAACUGAAGAUAUAAAGAUGAUGGAAUGUAUUUGGGAAUUUUGGUAGUACUCGUCCUGCUUUACUAAUUAUACUGUUAACAGUCUUGCAAGAAGCUUUACAAACUCAGAGAUGUCACUGACCCAAUCAGACAUGGCUAUGUAGACGUUUUGGAUGAAUGGUUCAAUGAAGAGCCUAGCCUUUUUGCAAAGAUGACCUGAACUGGGAGAGCAUAGACGCACCAUUUUCUGAACCAGCUUCUCAUGAUGAACGACCUGUCGCUAUUGACGAGGAUGAAGCUCCAUCAACAUUGUCGUCCCGGCCGGCAGCAUCAGCAGUAGAUUUAUAUUGCCCAACACCUGAUGAUCCCUAUAUGUCAUCCAAGAGAAUGAAAUUGCAUUCCUACCUUUUUGAAACAGGAACUUCUUUUCCAUAUUGAACUAUAUUGUCAUUAGGAGUAGGACACAUACUAAUGGUUUUGAAACUUUCCCUAUGCAUGAUUUGUGGUGGUUUGCUAAAUCUGGCCAUUUAGGAAUUGUAAUCUACUUUCUUCCUGUUACAGUCUGUGGCAUGUGCAGAGUUUCUUUUUCCUUC